UUAAGCGACUAAGCGUACACGGUGGAUGCCCUGGCAGUCAGAGGCGAUGAAGGACGUGCUAAUCUGCGAUAAGCGUCGGUAAGGUGAUAUGAACCGUUAUAACCGGCGAUUUCCGAAUGGGGAAACCCAGUGUGAUUCGUCACACUAUCAUUAACUGAAUCCAUAGGUUAAUGAGGCGAACCGGGGGAACUGAAACAUCUAAGUACCCCGAGGAAAAGAAAUCAACCGAGAUUCCCCCAGUAGCGGCGAGCGAACGGGGAGCAGCCCAGAGCCUGAAUCAGUAUGUGUGUUAGUGGAAGCGUCUGGAAAGGCGCGCGAUACAGGGUGACAGCCCCGUACACAAAAAUGCACAUGCUGUGAGCUCGAUGAGUAGGGCGGGACACGUGGUAUCCUGUCUGAAUAUGGGGGGACCAUCCUCCAAGGCUAAAUACUCCUGACUGACCGAUAGUGAACCAGUACCGUGAGGGAAAGGCGAAAAGAACCCCGGCGAGGGGAGUGAAAAAGAACCUGAAACCGUGUACGUACAAGCAGUGGGAGCACGCUUAGGCGUGUGACUGCGUACCUUUUGUAUAAUGGGUCAGCGACUUAUAUUCUGUAGCAAGGUUAACCGAAUAGGGGAGCCGAAGGGAAACCGAGUCUUAACUGGGCGUUAAGUUGCAGGGUAUAGACCCGAAACCCGGUGAUCUAGCCAUGGGCAGGUUGAAGGUUGGGUAACACUAACUGGAGGACCGAACCGACUAAUGUUGAAAAAUUAGCGGAUGACUUGUGGCUGGGGGUGAAAGGCCAAUCAAACCGGGAGAUAGCUGGUUCUCCCCGAAAGCUAUUUAGGUAGCGCCUCGUGAAUUCAUCUCCGGGGGUAGAGCACUGUUUCGGCAAGGGGGUCAUCCCGACUUACCAACCCGAUGCAAACUGCGAAUACCGGAGAAUGUUAUCACGGGAGACACACGGCGGGUGCUAACGUCCGUCGUGAAGAGGGAAACAACCCAGACCGCCAGCUAAGGUCCCAAAGUCAUGGUUAAGUGGGAAACGAUGUGGGAAGGCCCAGACAGCCAGGAUGUUGGCUUAGAAGCAGCCAUCAUUUAAAGAAAGCGUAAUAGCUCACUGGUCGAGUCGGCCUGCGCGGAAGAUGUAACGGGGCUAAACCAUGCACCGAAGCUGCGGCAGCGACGCUUAUGCGUUGUUGGGUAGGGGAGCGUUCUGUAAGCCUGUGAAGGUGUGCUGUGAGGCAUGCUGGAGGUAUCAGAAGUGCGAAUGCUGACAUAAGUAACGAUAAAGCGGGUGAAAAGCCCGCUCGCCGGAAGACCAAGGGUUCCUGUCCAACGUUAAUCGGGGCAGGGUGAGUCGACCCCUAAGGCGAGGCCGAAAGGCGUAGUCGAUGGGAAACAGGUUAAUAUUCCUGUACUUGGUGUUACUGCGAAGGGGGGACGGAGAAGGCUAUGUUGGCCGGGCGACGGUUGUCCCGGUUUAAGCGUGUAGGCUGGUUUUCCAGGCAAAUCCGGAAAAUCAAGGCUGAGGCGUGAUGACGAGGCACUACGGUGCUGAAGCAACAAAUGCCCUGCUUCCAGGAAAAGCCUCUAAGCAUCAGGUAACAUCAAAUCGUACCCCAAACCGACACAGGUGGUCAGGUAGAGAAUACCAAGGCGCUUGAGAGAACUCGGGUGAAGGAACUAGGCAAAAUGGUGCCGUAACUUCGGGAGAAGGCACGCUGAUAUGUAGGUGAAGUCCCUCGCGGAUGGAGCUGAAAUCAGUCGAAGAUACCAGCUGGCUGCAACUGUUUAUUAAAAACACAGCACUGUGCAAACACGAAAGUGGACGUAUACGGUGUGACGCCUGCCCGGUGCCGGAAGGUUAAUUGAUGGGGUCAGCGCAAGCGAAGCUCUUGAUCGAAGCCCCGGUAAACGGCGGCCGUAACUAUAACGGUCCUAAGGUAGCGAAAUUCCUUGUCGGGUAAGUUCCGACCUGCACGAAUGGCGUAAUGAUGGCCAGGCUGUCUCCACCCGAGACUCAGUGAAAUUGAACUCGCUGUGAAGAUGCAGUGUACCCGCGGCAAGACGGAAAGACCCCGUGAACCUUUACUAUAGCUUGACACUGAACAUUGAGCCUUGAUGUGUAGGAUAGGUGGGAGGCUUGGAAGUGUGGACGCCAGUCUGCAUGGAGCCGACCUUGAAAUACCACCCUUUAAUGUUUGAUGUUCUAACGUUGACCCGUAAUCCGGGUUGCGGACAGUGUCUGGUGGGUAGUUUGACUGGGGCGGUCUCCUCCUAAAGAGUAACGGAGGAGCACGAAGGUUGGCUAAUCCUGGUCGGACAUCAGGAGGUUAGUGCAAUGGCAUAAGCCAGCUUGACUGCGAGCGUGACGGCGCGAGCAGGUGCGAAAGCAGGUCAUAGUGAUCCGGUGGUUCUGAAUGGAAGGGCCAUCGCUCAACGGAUAAAAGGUACUCCGGGGAUAACAGGCUGAUACCGCCCAAGAGUUCAUAUCGACGGCGGUGUUUGGCACCUCGAUGUCGGCUCAUCACAUCCUGGGGCUGAAGUAGGUCCCAAGGGUAUGGCUGUUCGCCAUUUAAAGUGGUACGCGAGCUGGGUUUAGAACGUCGUGAGACAGUUCGGUCCCUAUCUGCCGUGGGCGCUGGAGAACUGAGGGGGGCUGCUCCUAGUACGAGAGGACCGGAGUGGACGCAUCACUGGUGUUCGGGUUGUCAUGCCAAUGGCACUGCCCGGUAGCUAAAUGCGGAAGAGAUAAGUGCUGAAAGCAUCUAAGCACGAAACUUGCCCCGAGAUGAGUUCUCCCUGACUCCUUGAGAGUCCUGAAGGAACGUUGAAGACGACGACGUUGAUAGGCCGGGUGUGUAAGCGCAGCGAUGCGUUGAGCUAACCGGUACUAAUGAACCGUGAGGCUUAACCUU
rnacentral:rRNA from 1 species